CAACAUUUAACUGGGACUGGCUUACAGG
rnacentral:piRNA from 1 species